rnacentral:rRNA from 1 species
GCUCCUUGUAAAACAGAUUGAUACAUAAGGAGUACUGCCUGCCCAGUGACUUAUUGAAGUUAAACGGCCGCGGUAUUUUGACCGUGCAAAGGUAGCAUAAUCAUUUGCCCUUUAAUUGGGGGCUGGAAUGAAUGGCAAGACGGAAAUUAAACUGUCUCCCUAUCAAUUUCUCUGAACCUCAUAUCUUUGUGAAGAAGCGAAGAUAGGAUCGUAAGACGAGAAGACCCUGUCGAGCUUUAACGUAUGAUAUCCUCUUAGUGCAGGCUUCUAUUUAGCUAAUUCUAGCUUUGUUAAAGGUCCAACUUAGUUUUACUAAAGAGAGACUUGGUGAGUGAUACACGCUCGUUUUGGUUGGGGCAACCGCGGAGAAUAAUGAUCCUCCGCUAAUUUAACACGUGAAAAGGUAACUGCUUUACCGGGGAUGGCUCCUAACUGUUUUGAUCCGCUUAUGUUUAAAGCGAUAAAAGGAAUAAGUUACCGCAGGGAUAACAGCGUAAUUCUUUUGGAGAGUCCGUAUUGAUAAAAGAGUUUGCGACCUCGAUGUUGGAUCGGGAUAUCCUAAAAGUGCAGCAGCUUUUGAGGGUUGGUCUGUUCGACCAUUAAAAUCCU